UUAGAUAGUCGACUUGGUCUCAAAGAAACUGUUGUCUUUGCUGUUGUUAUCUUUGUUUCACUGCAGUCCCAGAAGGUGGCGAUAAUGCGCCAACUUUAUUGUUGUUGGGUGCGCCCUGAACCGUAGAAGAAGACUUUCAAUCGUAAACAACUAGCUAACGUUAGCUGGCUGCUAGUGUGCGUUUCUUUUCGCAAAAAAAAUGGCCAAAUUGGAGUUGCUAAGUUUGUUUCUCACUGAACGAUUAACGUCUGCUGCACAGGAUAUAUAUAAAAUGUUAGAAGAAACGUUUGCAGAAUACCAAGCAGAGAUCACUUACGUAAAGAGAGAGAAUGAAUUUCUACGGAAGCAGUUUAAUGCUAACAGACCGAGAAAAGUGAACGUUAAACGAGGUCUACGACAGAUCACCCGCACUGUCUCUGUAGCAGUAGCUCCCCCAAAGCUGAAGCAGGAGUCGAGCCCCAGUCUGGGGAAGGAGGUUUCACAAACUGAGGAGAAGAAGCAAGAAGCAAGGACCAGUCAGGGCGAAGAGCAGCUUCAAGAGACUGGAACAACAGAAUUGAUGCCUACACCCACCACUCACUGUUGCAGCAAAGACAAUGAUCUUGGCCCAUCCAAAACAUUGCCCCAGAUCCAGCCCAAGCCCUUACCUUCCUUACCCAUACCCCUUCUCCUGGCUCAGCCCGCACAGCCCUUCCAAAUCGCACAGAACCAAGCCGUCGUCUUAUCUCAUCAGAUAUCGCCUCUGGUCAUUCAGGUUGUAAAGAAAUUGUUUAUUUGUAAAGACUGUGGGAAGACUUUCCGUUACAUGAGUCGUUUGAAACAGCACACACGCAUGGCUCACACGCAGGAAAAACCCCACUGCUGUACGUUGUGUGGAAAGUGUUUUCUUACUGCCAGCAAGUUAAAAACACACCAGCUAAUACACACCGGCGAGAGACCCUACCUCUGUAAUGUCUGUGGUCACUGUUUCAACCAGAGGUCGAACCUCAAAGUACACAUGCAGAGGAAACACAAAGAUGUCAAGGGUGUGUGACAAACAACAAAAUAUAGCAUUCAGUAUACGGAUUUACAUUCAUAUUUACAUUUUAGUAAUUUAGAAGACGCUCUUAGCCAGAGCGACUUACCGUUAAUGCAUUCAUCUUAAGAUAGCUAGGUGGGAUGGUGAAAAGGUUAUGUGGGAAAAAGACAGCAAAAAUAAAUAAAGUUGUAGGACACAUCUCCCCAACCCCUACAUUCAGGUGUAUGUCAGUGGAGGCUGAGGGGAGAACGGCUCAUAAGUCUCCCCAACCCCUACAUUCAGGUGUAUGUCAGUGGAGGCUGAGGGGAGAACGGCUCAUAAGUCUCCCCAACCCCUACAUUCAGGUGUAUGUCAGUGGAGGCUGAGGGGAGAACGGCUCAUAUAAGUCUCCCCAACCCCUACAUUCAAGUGUAUGUCAGUGGAGGCUGAGGGGAGAACGGCUCAUAUAAGUCUGGACCGGAGUGAAUGGAGUGGCAUUGAUAGCAAUCCCCACAUUUCCCUCCAUUACCACGAGCCCGUCCUCACCAAUUAAGGUGCCACCACCCUCCUGUGGUGAAUAUAAUUUCUCCUCCCUUUCUUCCCUGUAUUGUUGUCUCAAAUCAUAAACUACAUUAAAGAUGUAAAACAGA